AAUCUGCGAACGGCUCCGUAUAUCUGUUAUAACCUAUCGCCGAUCAGCACAAAUCGGCCAUAACCACGGUAAUUCUGUGGCUAAUACGUGUUACAACCCGGGGCCGCCGACCGCAAGGGAGGCGCACUCCGGUCUUGCCGCACGACCAACGGCGGGGGCAACCCCGCCCGCGUGAGUGGCAGGCAAGGGCACCUGACCGCAGCCAGAAUUGCUGCGGCACGCGCGAUGGGCGCCAGACCUAUCAACUAGAUGCCCAUGCAUUGCCUGGACAUGGUUAUAACGGGUACAGAGGAUCAGGGUUCGGUCCUGGAGAGGUAGCCUGAGAGAUCGCUACUACUUCUAAGGAAGGCAGCAGGCGCGCAACGUUCCCAAUGGGGAUACCCUGAGGACGUAAAGGGGCAUAUCAAUGCCCGGCCGAUAAGGCCGGGCAAUUGAAAUGGGGGACCUCUAAACCCCACACCGAGUAACAAUUGGAGGACAAGUCUGGUGCCAGCACCCGCGGUAAUUCCAGCUCCGAUAGCAUCUUGUUAAGUUGUUGCAGUUAAAACGCUCGUAGUUCAAACCGGUGCGUCCACUGGGCUCCCAGUACUGCGGUGCGCCUGCUGACCGCCCCCUAACCGGGGCGGCGGCGGGACCCGCGGGACCGUUGCCCGGGGGCCACUAUCUUGCAGGGACCGUGUGGCGGACGGGGCUUCAGUGUGCCGCCCGCCCGCCCCCAGCACUUUACUUUGAACAAACGUGCAUGCUUAAAUUAGGCCGAAUUAUGGCUUUUGAAACCCGCAGCAAAGAAUAUAAGAACAGGAACCCAGCCUGUUCGUUGGUAAAGGUCGGGUUAAUGAUCUGUUGGGGCGAUCGGGGCAGGCCACAUGGCGGGGGUAGGGGUGAAAUCCGUUGAUCCUCGCCAGGUGAACUAACGCGAAAGCAGCCUGCAAGUCCGCUUUCUUAGAUCAAGAACGAAAGUCUGGGGAUCGAAGAUGAUCAGAUACCAUCGUAGUCCAGACCCUAAAUGAUGCCGGCCAUGGAUGGGCCCUCGUCCAUCCCGACCCGACCCGCACUUCUUGGGAAACCAUUAAGCGUUUGGGCUCCGGGGGGAGUAUGGUCGCAAGACUGAAACUUAAAGGAAUUGACGGAAGAGCACACAAGGAGUGGAGCCUGCGGCUUAAUUUGACUCAACACGGGAAAACUCACUAGGGCAAGAGGGGGGUAGGAUAGACAGCCGAUCAGGGCUUUCUUGAUUCCCCCAGUGGUGGUGCAUGGUCGUUCUUAGUUCGUGGAUUGAUUUGUCUGGUCUAUUCCGCUAACGAGCGAGAACCCCCCUUCUCGAGGUUAGGCAACCGGGCACGCCCACGCCGCUUCGGCGGCGCAGGCUGAAAACGCCCGCGAGCGCGAGCCGGAUGGGACUGUUCUCGACAAGAGGAUGUCAGAGGGUCAAUAACAGGUCAGGAUGCCCUUAGAUGCUCUAGGCCGCACGCGCGCUACAAUGUGGCAAAUAACGGGCCCCCUGUGCCUAACGGCGUCGGGGAAUCCGUGAAAAUGCCACAUAUCUGGGCCAGCGCCGUGUAACUCGGCGCUCAAACAAGGAAUUUCUAGUAGUCAUGGGUCACCAGCCCGUGACGAUUCUGUCCCUGCUCUUUGUACACACCGCCCGUCGCUCCUACCGAUUGGGCUGCGAGGUGAGUUGCGCGGAGGCACUCAACGGGGGCGGGGCAACCCCCCCCUGCCGAAGCGAGGCGAACCCCGCGGCCUAGAGGAAGGAGAAGUCGUAACAAGGUAUCCGUAGGUGAACCUGCA
rnacentral:rRNA from 1 species